rnacentral:rRNA from 1 species
UACGGAGGGGGCGAGUGUUGUUCGGAAUUACUGGGCGUAAAGGGCGCGCAGGCGGCUUGGCAAGUCGAGUGUGAAAUACCUCAGCUUAACUGAGGAACGGCGCUCGAAACUACCUCGCUAGAGGGCGGGAGAGGGAAGUGGAACUCUCGGUGUAGGGGUGAAAUCUGUAGAUAUCGAGAGGAACACCGGUGGCGAAGGCGGCUUCCUGGCCCGUACCUGACGCUGAGGCGCGAAGGCGUGGGGAGCGAACGGG